GCCUGGCUGGCUCAGUCAGUAGAGCAUGUGACUCUUGAUCUUGGGAUUGUGAGUUCAAGCCCCAUGUUGGGCA
rnacentral:tRNA from 1 species